UCUCUGAUAGCUCAGUUGGUAAAGAAUCUGCCUGCAAUGCAGGAAACCCUGGUUCGAUUCCUGGGUUGGGAA
rnacentral:tRNA from 1 species